GAUGAAGAACUUAGUGAAAUGCGAUAAGUAGUGUGAAUUGCAGAAUUCAGUGAAUCAUCGAAUCUUUGAACGCACAUUGCGCCCCUCGGUAUUCCGUGGGGCAUGCCUGUUCGAGCGUCAUCUACACCCUCAAGCUCUGCUUGGUGUUGGGCGUCUGUCCCGCCUCCGCGCGUGGACUCGCCCCAAAUUCAUUGGCAGCGGUCCUUGCCUCCUCUCGCGCAGCACAUUGCGCUUCUCGAGGGGCUACGGCUCGCGUCCAACAAGCACAUUUACCGUCUUUGACCUCGGAUCAGGUAGGGAUACCCGCUGAACUUAAGCAUAUCAAUAAGCGGAGGA
rnacentral:misc_RNA from 1 species